rnacentral:lncRNA from 1 species
CUGCCAUCUUUGGGUCCGAGAUAGACUCAGAUUUAUCAUGAUGUAUACAUAUAUAAUAAUGCAGACACCCAAAGGUGCAACUCUACCAUCUUCUAGAUUUACCAUCAUUUUUAUUCUAGGACCACCCUUCGACCUUCCUAUGCCCCAACAUUUGCGACAACAUAAUCUUCAUAGGCCAUGACUUUUCACGUGCCUUUUAUAUACACAUAUCUUAAUAUUCUACAUAACUUUAUUUUACAUAUAUUAUUUUUUAAAACUAUUUUAUAAUU